UGAGGAACAUGACCUUCGGCGGGGGAUAGCCGGCCCAACGGCCGGGUAAUACCGCGUACGACCACAUGGGGACAUCCCUGAGUGGUGAAAGCAGCAAUGCGCCGAUGGAGUGCCUCGCGGCCUAUCAGCUAGUUGGUGAGGUAACGGCUCACCAAGGCGACGCGGGUAAAAGCUGGUCUGAGAGGAUGGCCAGCCACAUUGGAACUGAGACACGGUCCAGACUCUACGGGA
rnacentral:rRNA from 1 species